GAGGGUGGCUCUUAUCGUGAUUUGUCAGAGAGUGGUGGGGCUGCAUGGAAUCCGUUGCAAGGAGUGGAGCAGGAGGGUGGCUCUUGUCGUGACUUGUCGGAGAGCUCGGAUCCAUCGGCUAGAGCUCAGCUGGGAUAUCUGAUGGAGCGGAAUGGCUCUCUAUUGUUGGUCUGGGAGAAGCUCGGAUGUCCCCAAAGCUGCUGACGAGUCUACUGUUGUCGGGUAGCUUAGGCGCUGAUACUACAGGUGGAAGUCACCUGCUGUAGAAGCUCGGAUAGAGACUUUACAUUGGCAAAGCCCGGU
rnacentral:lncRNA from 1 species